rnacentral:rRNA from 1 species
CCAGUUGCCAUCAGUAAAGUUGGGGACUCUGGAGAGACUGCCUGCGCAAGACAGAGAGGAAGUGGGGAUGACGUCAAGUCAGCACGGCCCUUACGUCCAGGGCUACACACGUGCUACAAUGGCCGGUACAGAGGGCAGCGACCUGGUGACAGGUAGCGAAUACUCCAAAGCCGGUCUCAGUUCGGAUCGGAGUCUGCAACUCGACUCCGUGAAGCUGGAUUCGCUAGUAAUCGGAUAUCAGCAAUGAUCCGGUGAAUACGUUCCCGGGCCUU